UGGGGAAUAUUGCACAAUGGGCGCAAGCCUGAUGCAGCGACGCCGCGUGGGGGAUGACGGCCUUCGGGUUGUAAACCUCUUUCGCCUACGACGAAGCGAGAGUGACGGUAGUAGGAGAAGAAGCACCGGCCAACUACGUGCCAGCAGCCGCGGUAAUACGUAGGGUGCGAGCGUUGUCCGGAAUUACUGGGCGUAAAGAGCUCGUAGGCGGUUUGUCGCGUCGUCCGUGAAAACUUGGGGCUUAACUCCAAGCUUGCGGGCGAUACGGGCAGACUUGAGUACUGCAGGGGAGACUGGAAUUCCUGGUGUAGCGGUGAAAUGCGCAGAUAUCAGGAGGAACACCGGGUGGCGAAGGCGGGUCUCUGGGCAGUAACUGACGCUGAGGAGCGAAAGCGUGGGUAGCGAACAGGAUUAGAUACCCUGGUAGUCCACGCCGUAAACGGUGGGCGCUAGGUGUGGGUUUCCUUCCACGGGAUCCGUGCCGUAGCUAACGCAUUAAGCG
rnacentral:rRNA from 1 species